rnacentral:rRNA from 1 species
GGAGGAUCCAAGCGUUAUCCGGAUUUAUUGGGUUUAAAGGGUGCGUAGGCGGUUUGAUAAGUUAGAGGUGAAAUACCGGGGCUUAACUCCGGAACUGCCUCUAAUACUGUUGAACUAGAGAGUAGUUGCGGUAGGCGGAAUGUAUGGUGUAGCGGUGAAAUGCUUAGAGAUCAUACAGAACACCGAUUGCGAAGGCAGCUUACCAAGCUACUUCUGACGUUGAGGCACGAAAGCGUGGGGAGCAAA